rnacentral:rRNA from 1 species
AUUGAACGCUGGCGGCAUGCCUUACACAUGCAAGUCGAACGGCAGCACGGGAGCAAUCCUGGUGGCGAGUGGCGAACGGGUGAGUAAUAUAUCGGAACGUGCCCAGUCGUGGGGGAUAACGUAGCGAAAGCUACGCUAAUACCGCAUACGAUCUAUGGAUGAAAGCGGGGGAUCGCAAGACCUCGCGCGAUUGGAGCGGCCGAUAUCAGAUUAGGUAGUUGGUGAGGUAAAGGCUCGCCAAGCCGACGAUCUGUAGCUGGUCUGAGAGGACGACCAGCCACACUGGGACUGAGACACGGGCCCAGACUCCUACGGGAGGCAGCAGUGGGGAAUUUUGGACAAUGGGCGCAAGCCUGAUCCAGCAAUGCCGCGUGCAGGAUGAAGGCCU